rnacentral:rRNA from 1 species
UACGUAGGGUGCAAGCGUUGUCCGGAAUUAUUGGGCGUAAAGGGCUCGUAGGCGGUCCAUCGCGUCGGGAGUGAAAAGCUGGGGCUCAACCCCAGUCCUGCUUCCGAUACGGGCAGACUUGAGUUCGGUAGGGGAGACUGGAAUUCCUGGUGUAGCGGUGAAAUGCGCAGAUAUCAGGAGGAACACCGGUGGCGAAGGCGGGUCUCUGGGCCGAUACUGACGCUGAGGAGCGAAAGCGUGGGGAGCGAACAGG